rnacentral:rRNA from 1 species
GAUGAACGCUGGCGGCGUGCCUAAUGCAUGCAAGUCGAGCGAACGGACGAGAAGCUCGCUUCCUUGAUGUUAGCGGCGGACGGGUGAGUAACACGUGGAUAACCUACCUAUAAGACUGGGAUAACUUCGGGAAACCGGAGCUAAUACCGGAUAAUAUUUUGAACCGCAUGGUUCAAAAGUGAAAGACGGUCUUGCUGUCACUUAUAGAUGGAUCCGCGCUGCAUUAGCUAGUUGGUAAGGUAACGGCUUACCAAGGCAACGAUGCAUAGCCGACCUGAGAGGGUGAUCGGCCACACUGGAACUGAGACACGGUCCAGACUCCUACGGGAGGCAGCAGUAGGGAAUCUUCCGCAAUGGGCGAAAGCCUGACGGAGCAACGCCGCGUGAGUGAUGAAGGUCUUCGGAUCGUAAAGCUCUGUUAUUAGGGAAGAACAUAUGUGUAAGUAACUGUGCACAUCUUGACGGUACCUAAUCAGAAAGCAACGGCUAACUACGUG